rnacentral:rRNA from 1 species
GAUGAACGCUGACAGAAUGCUUAACACAUGCCAGUCUUUGGCGAAGCUGUGCUUGCACAGCCUAGCCAAGGCGGACGGGUGAGUAACGCGUAAGGAACUUGCCCUGCAGUCAGGGAUAACAGACGGAAUCGACUGAUAAGACCUGGUAAAGUCAGGCGGACUCAUGUCCAGCCUGAUGAAAAGAGAUGCUGCAGGAGAGCCUUGCGUCCUAUUAGCUUGUUGGUGGGGUAACGGCCCACCAAGGCGAUGAUAGGUAGCCGGCCUGAGAGGGUGGACGGCCACAAGGGGACUGAGAUACGGCCCUUACUCCUACGGGAGGCAGCAGUGGGGAAUAUUGGACAAUGGGAGCAACCCUGAUCCAGCAAUUCUGUGUGCACGAUGAAGGUUUUCGGAUUGUAAAGUGCUUUCAGCAGGGAAGAAAAAAAUGACGGUACCUGCAGAAGAAGCGACGGCUAAAUACGUG